AUACAUGCAAGUCGAGCGAGCGGAACUAACAGAUUUACUUCGGUAAUGACGUUAGGAAAGCGAGCGGCGGAUGGGUGAGUAACACGUGGGGAACCUGCCCCAUAGUCUGGGAUACCACUUGGAAACAGGUGCUAAUACCGGAUAAGAAAGCAGAUCGCAUGAUCAGCUUUUAAAAGGCGGCGUAAGCUGUCGCUAUGGGAUGGCCCCGCGGUGCAUUAGCUAGUUGGUAAGGUAAAGGCUUACCAAGGCGAUGAUGCAUAGCCGAGUUGAGAGACUGAUCGGCCACAUUGGGACUGAGACACGGCCCAAACUCCUACGGGAGGCAGCAGUAGGGAAUCUUCCACAAUGGACGCAAGUCUGAUGGAGCAACGCCGCGUGAGUGAAGAAGGUUUUCGGAUCGUAAAGCUCUGUUGUUGGUGAAGAAGGAUAGAGGUAGUAACUGGCCUUUAUUUGACGGUAAUCAACCAGAAAGUCACGGCUAACUACGUGCCAGCAGCCGCGGUAAUACGUAGGUGGCAAGCGUUGUCCGGAUUUAUUGGGCGUAAAGCGAGCGCAGGCGGAAGAAUAAGUCUGAUGUGAAAGCCCUCGGCUUAACCGAGGAACUGCAUCGGAAACUGUUUUUCUUGAGUGCAGAAGAGGAGAGUGGAACUCCAUGUGUAGCGGUGGAAUGCGUAGAUAUAUGGAAGAACACCAGUGGCGAAGGCGGCUCUCUGGUCUGCAACUGACGCUGAGGCUCGAAAGCAUGGGUAGCGAACAGGAUUAGAUACCCUGGUAGUCCAUGCCGUAAACGAUGAGUGCUAAGUGUUGGGAGGUUUCCGCCUCUCAGUGCUGCAGCUAACGCAUUAAGCACUCCGCCUGGGGAGUACGACCGCAAGGUUGAAACUCAAGGAAUUGACGGGGGCCCGCACAAGCGGUGAGCAUGUGGUUUAAUUCGAAGCACGCGAAGACCUUACCAGGUCUUGACAUCUAGUGCCAUUUGUA
rnacentral:rRNA from 1 species